GGGGGCGACUGGUUUCGACAUGGCAAGUUGAAAUUGGAAGGCAGGCCGUGGUCUCCUCGCCACGCUAAACAGGGGUACUGUCAAGUUAAUUGGCAAGUUCAACACUCAGGGCCGUGUGGCCCUCGCUGCUUAAUUUAAUCGCAGCGUGACAACUCGAGGAUUUUCUCCGACCUCGACGCGUUAUCAUAUUUAGGAGAGCGCUCCUUGGCACGUGGUUGGUAUGGUCAGGGCUAAGAUUGAACCAGCUCGAACGCGCGAAGUUUACCCGUGUACGAUGUGCGUUUUAAAUUCCAUCACGAGGUUAUGUCUGUAAUUCUUUCCGGUGACGAUUUGGUAUGGACCGGAGUUCGAUUCUCCGCGCCUCCACCA
rnacentral:tmRNA from 1 species